GCUAGCGGCAGGCCUAACACAUGCAAGUCGAACGGAACAGGAAUUAGCUUGCUAAUUUGCUGACGAGUGGCGCACGGGUGCGUAACGCGUAUACAAUCUACCUUUUGCUGAGGGAUAGCCCAGAGAAAUUUGGAUUAAUACCUCAUGGUAUUAUUGAUAGGCAUCUAUUAAUAAUUAAAGGUUACGGCAAAAGAUGAGUAUGCGUCCCAUUAGCUAGUUGGCGAGGUAACGGCUCACCAAGGCAACGAUGGGUAGGGGUCCUGAGAGGGAGAUCCCCCACACUGGUACUGAGACACGGACCAGACUCCUACGGGAGGCAGCAGUGAGGAAUAUUGGACAAUGGGCGAGAGCCUGAUCCAGCCAUGCCGCGUGCAGGAAGACUGCCCUAUGGGUUGUAAACUGCUUUUAUACAGGAAGAAUAAGCCUUACGUGUAAGGUGAUGACGGUACUGUAAGAAUAAGGACCGGCUAACUCCGUGCCAGCAGCCGCGGUAAUACGGAGGGUCCGAGCGUUAUCCGGAAUUAUUGGGUUUAAAGGGUCCGUA
rnacentral:rRNA from 1 species